CAGAGGGUGCAAACGUUGUUCGGAAUUACUGGGCAUAAAGGCGCACGUAGGUGGUCCGCUAAGUCGCGUGUGAAAUCCCUCGGCUCAACCGAGGAAUUGCGGGCGAUACUGGCGGGCUAGAGAUCGGGAGGGGUGAGUGGAACUCCAGGUGGAGCGGUGAAAUGCGUAGAUAUCUGGAGGAACACCGGUGGCGAAAGCGACUCACUGGCCCGACACUGACACUGAGGUGCGAAAGCUAGGGUAGCAAACGGGAUUAGAUACCCCGGUAGUCCUAGCCGUAAACGAUGGGUACUGGGCAGGGGGAAUAUCUAUGUUCUCUCUGCCGGAGCUAAUGUGUUAAGUACCCCGCCUGGGGAGUACGCUCGCAAGGGUA
rnacentral:rRNA from 1 species